CUGUUUCGCAGGUACUUCUCUUCAGUUGUGGAGGAACCGUGCCCUGUCGCUGCCGUGGUAACACCAUCUCUGUGCAAUCAGACACUCUACGGAGGCAAGACUACUAAUGUGUGUGCAGAAGUAACUGGAGAAGCCAACGUUCUACAACACUUACUCCAGGAGCAACAGCAGAGCUUUGUCUCAAAUGCCAAUUUAUUAGGACACUCUGCAACUUUAAAAAUCCUACAAGACUUGACUCCUCUCCAGCGGGCAGAAGUGGCUUACUUUGGGCUUUAGUCUCUCGCGCGACACGUUGCCUGGUCUGUCAAGCAAAGACGCGAGGAGGCUCUCCCAGGGUUUCCCUAACAGUGUAUUUGCUUUGCUUGUUCUGGAAGGGAAAGCUGCAGCACAUGGCGGACAAGAUGGACUCAGUCAAAAAUCAGGAAAUGUUUGUUGAAACUGCAUCUGUGAGGAAGAUGAAGUUACCAGCGUGGAUUUCAAAGGAAGUUCUUGAAGACUCUGGAGGAGCUGCGUACUCUAGCGCUGCUCU